rnacentral:rRNA from 1 species
UACAGAGGUCCCAAGCGUUGUUCGGAUUCACUGGGCGUAAAGGGUGCGUAGGUGGUUGGGUAAGUCUGAUGUGAAAUCUCCGGGCUCAACCCGGAAAUGGCAUUGGAUACUAUCCAGCUCGAGGAUCGGAGGGGGGACUGGAAUUCUUGGUGUAGCAGUGAAAUGCGUAGAUAUCAAGAGGAACACCAGUGGCGAAGGCGAGUCCCUGGACGAUUCCUGACACUGAGGCACGAAAGCUAGGGGAGCAAACAGG